rnacentral:rRNA from 1 species
AAUGAACGCUGGCGGCAGGCCUAACACAUGCAAGUCGAACGGAUCCUUCGGGAUUAGUGGCGGACGGGUGAGUAACGCGUGGGAACAUACCCUUUGGUACGGAAUAGCCUCGGGAAACUGGGAGUAAUACCGUAUGUGGUCGAGAGACGAAAGAUUUAUCGCCAAAGGAUUGGCCCGCGUUGGAUUAGGUGGUUGGGGGGGGAAUCGCCUACCAAGCGGACAAUACAUAGCUGGUUGGAGAAGAUGAUCAGCCACACUGGGACUGAGACACGGCCCAUACUCCUACGGGAGGCAGCAGUGGGGAAUCUUAGACAAUGGGGGAAACCCUGAUCUAGCCAUGCCGCGUGAUCGAUGAAGGCCUUAGGGUUGUAAAGAUCUUUCAGGUGGGAAGAUAAUGACUGUACCACCAGAAGAAGCCCCGGCUAACUCCGUGCCAGCCGCCGCGGUAAAAC